rnacentral:rRNA from 1 species
CCUACGUGGUGCAGCAGUGAGGAAUAUUGGUCAAUGGGCGGGAGCCUGAACCAGCCAAGUCGCGUGAGGGACGACGGUCCUAUGGAUUGUAAACCUCUUUUGUCGGGGAACAAAGGCGCCCACGGGUGGGCGUAUGAGUGUACCCGAAGAAAAAGCAUCGGCUAACUCCGUGCCAGCAGCCGCGGUAAUACGGAGGAUGCGAGGGUUAUCCGGAUUUAUUGGGGUUAAAGGGUACGCAGGCGGAAUGUCAAGUCAGCGGUAAAAUUUCGGGGCUCAACCCCGUCGUGCCGUUGAAACUGGCGUUCUUGAGUGAGCGAGAAGUAUGCGGAAUGCGGGGUGUAGCGGUGAAAUGCAUAGAUAUCACGCAGAACUCCGAUUGCGAAGGCAGCAUACCGGCGCUCAACUGACGCUCAUGCACGAAAGCGUGGGUAUCGAACAGGAUUAGAUACCCCAGUAGUC